CCAUAAACAGGAAGUAGUAUUAUACAGUACAGAGAGGUUCCAUAUACAGGAAGUAGUAUUAUACAGUACAGAGGGGUUCCAUAAACAGGAAGUAGUAUUAUACAGUACAGGAAGUAGUAUUAUACAGUACAGAGAGGUUCCAUAAACAGGAAGUAGUAUUAUACAGUACAGAGAGGUUCCAUAAACAGGAAGUAG